UGAAUUCUUACAAAUACUCAAGAAUAAAAGGAAUUUCUGUGAUAAAGCGAAUGAAAUUGGUGAAGCCGAUUUUCAACAUCGAACAGUUUGAAAAAAUUCUUCGUUGAGGAUAGAUCGCUAUUUUUUAGUAGGAGUAAAGAAAAAUCGAACGAGAUAUUUGACAUCGAACCUCAGUAAAAUUAAAAAUUUAUAAAUUUCUUGUUUCGAAACAAGCUACAGCAAAUCGAUCAAAAUGUUUAAAAGCCAUUUGGAAAUGAUUGGUCGCAAUGAGACCCCCAGCAAGAAGGCGAAAUUCUGGCAAUCUUACAUCAGAUCCUUGAAGGGAUCCGAAGAUAUCCGUGCUCAUGAGACUCCACGCGUCAGCCGUCCAUACAGCUCGUACUUGGACUCGCCAGCCACAUACAGGAGCAUCUUCGAUGAACCCGCCACUGCCAACGAGCGUGUGCAGUCGCAUGGCUACAGAUACUUGCCAGUGAGCAGAGACACCUAUGGCUACUCGCCACGUGCCAUCUACGAUCAUCACUACAGCAGAACAAUUCCAGCCAACUACGACGCAGAGAGGGCAUGGAAUGAUCAUUUGAAGCGCAUGCAAGAAAUCGAACGCAGAUACCCAUCUCGUUACGGUCUCUACUUGAAGGACAAGCCAUACACACCAAACGCUUUGGUGCCUUUGGAAUACGAGCCAGAAGAUAAGCUGCUCCAAGAACUCAACAAGGCGCGCCGAUCACCAUCACCACGUCCAGGCCGUUGGACUCGUGCCGGCAGUGAACCCUAUGUGCCACCACCAACCUACUGGAGCCGCGCACCAAGCGUGUCGCGCGCACCAUCCGCUUUCGAACGCGCACGCAGCUUGGCACCAGCCUUGAUCGAUCGUGCACGCAGCUUGGCACCCAGGCCAUUGUUCCGUGCCAGCUCGUUGGAACCAUUGGAUGAACUCUUUGAUAUUUAAAAAAACCACAAAAUUUUCUUUCUACUCUUCUUACUGCAAACAUCACGCUGUCACUACAACAACAUAAACCAAAUAAAAUCAAAUAAAAAAACUAAAAAAUAAAAAAAAAAAACAAUCCAUGCAACAUUGUAUGGAAAUCAUUAACAAACAUGAACAUAAAAUCAUAUAACAACAACAACAAAUAACAUCAAACAACAACUUAAAUAAAUAAAAACACCCACAAACAAAAAACAGGACUUCCCAUCUUCCAUCCACGCAAUCGCUUCAGGGACUUGUUGAACCCCAAUCCUUAUGCGCCCAUCUCAGCAUUCACACGCGAUCCCUUCUGGUGGGAUGUCGAUGAUUUGGUGCCCCUCCGUGCUCUCUCCGUGCCACGCGCCCUCUCCGUGCCAAGGGGUUCCAGCCCCAUUGCACGCGACUCGUUCUUGUCGCCAGUGAAGAAUCGUUACUUGUGGUCCAGACAUCCAGCUAGACCAUUGACCCCACACCGUACGAUUUUGUAAACACGACGACAAUUUGAAAAAAAAAUAUAUAUGCGAGCUCUUUUCGCAUUCACGAAACAAGCAAAACGAAUAAUGAAACGAGGGCCAACUAAGGAAGAAAUCGAAAAUAUACUAAAUUAGUCGACCUUAUCCAAAAAAAACGAAAAUUUUUUCAACGCAUAAAGAUAAGCACACCCACAACAACAACAACCAGAAAUUUAAGAACAACUCACGGAAACAAAAACUUCAGUGAAUUCAAUGAAAACAAAUUAGAAUGGGUGUACAAUAGCAAUUAAAAAGUAAUAAUAAAUAUAACAGCAACAACAA
rnacentral:misc_RNA from 1 species